CUGGAAAUAAAGAUGAAAGACUGAGAGAGUAGAAGGAUCCCAAAGUGCUCGUCUGCGAUACAGGGAUGACUACUGAUGGCAGCUUUCGUGCACUGUCGCCACUCAUCUCUGAUGGAUCAUUCGAGCAGUCAGCAACGCUGGAGGUUCAGGAGGCGAAGGCCAUGAUGGAUAACCACCCCCAGUGGGAUAUCCCAGAAACUGAAGAAGAGGAGGAUGACCAGGAGGACAGUGAUGGCAUUGAGGAAUCUGAGGAAGAUGAAGAAGACAACGGCUAAACCAGUCAUCUCUCUAUGGCUCUGAGGGAUUAGGCCUGACUUCCCCACCAGCAGCGGCCAAAGUGGCCCGAACUGGGGAUGACAACUGAUGAGGAUCAAGGCUUGGGCUAUUCUGCCCUCUGAGAGGCACUGUGAACUGAGAAGAGCUGGACAGGAGAAAAGCCCUUGGACAGGAGAGACGCAAUCUCAAUGUUCAAUGAAUGGAUCCCCCUACAUAGGUUAGAGAGCCCUGCAGCCUAAUUAAUUACUCCUGACUUUCUUGUUAAAAUGUUAAUAUCAGGACCUCACUAAUUUGCUAUUAAUGGUGGUCCUAUAUUUAAAAAACUGAACAAAACUUAAGAAAGACAACAUUUAAAGGGGAAAUUACAUAGGCUACAGUUGGCCCAUUAAAACAAAACAAGAGUGGUAAAGAGUUGGUAAUACGUAGCUAUAGUUAUUUCUGUAUGACAGUACCCUUUUAAGGAGUUAGAAACUGCAAUUCACGGUUUCUUUUUUUCAAGUGGGAUAGUUCAAAGGCAAAAUGUGGUGUUAGGUUUUUAGCUUACAAUAAAAGCUUGAUCUUUUCAAAAGCUACACCUUUGUACCUAUAUUCAAGUUUCAAGUUUAAUUGACUUAUAUAGCACCAUUUAAACAGCAGCAGUUGACCAAUGUGCUUUACAGCGUUAUAUAAAAUAAAUACAAGCAAAAAAUUAAAAAUCUGAUAAAAUCAGUGACUAAUUAUCAACAAGAUAUCAAAAGAAAAUCAGAACAACAAAAGUCUAAUUAAAAAAAUUAAUCAUCAAGGGAAAAUAAAAGUAAUGGAAAAGAGUUUCACGCAAAGAUUUGAAAAUCUGUAUUGUAGGAGCAGAUCUAAUAAGAACUGCUCCAGAGUUAUGUCCCGCGACUGCAAAAGCACGUUCACCUCUUUGAUUAAUAUUUACACCACAAUGAUGUAGUCAAAAAAAAACGUUUUUAAAUAGGUCCAAGUAGGCUUAUACAUGACAACAUUUUCAAAAUGAUUUGCAUUUACAAAUAUCCGCGAAAACAGCUAAAAAUGCUGUAUUACAUAUGCCAGGCCAGUAGUUGGCGCUAUCACCUUAUUAGUAAACAGUACCUGUUGCCAUGUGUAUAUGAUGCAUCUCCACUGUUGGUUGUAAUAAUGUGAAGUAAAUCCACACUUUGCUGAUGAAGCUUUAGCGAACUCAAACAUUAAAUAAAUAUGGAUAUUGGUAUCUUAAAUUUACAUACAUAUUAGUACAUUAAAAUGAAAAGUGACGUGACCAAGUAUGGUGACUCAUACUCAGAAUUUGUGUUCUUUAUUUAACCCAUCCAAGUGCACACACACAGUAGUGAAAACAAACCUGGAGGAGUGGGCAGCCAUAUUCUGUGACACCCGGACCAGUUAGGGGUUCGAUGCCUUCCUCAAGGAUCUCACCUCAGCCAUGGUAUUGAGGGUAGAAGAGAGCGCUGGUUAUUCACUCCCCCACCGACAAUUCCUGCAGGUCCAGAGACUUAAAAUGCCCCUAUUAUGCCUUUUUACCUUUCAUGCAGUGUGUCAUGUAGCUGUAUGUGAACAUAAACUAUCUGCAAAGUUGUGAAGCUGACAGUGCAUGAUAGAUAAAGUUAUUGUCUGUAAAAAAAAAAAAAAAGAAUCGAGUCCUAAUGGCCCAAAGUCGUAAGGAAUUUGAAUCUUAUUCUGUUAUUAUAUCUCACAAAGUAACACAUUUGCAUAAUGUCCGCCCACAUUUUACAUUUUACGUUGUGAACUUGCCUGCCCACAAACACAGUCCAAUCCAUAAUCUGGAUUAGCUAAUGACCAUAAAUGACCUGGAUGGUGUAGCUAGAAACCAUGUAAAACCAGCUCUAUUUCACCGGGGCAGUACCCUUACAAAAGGUACAUCUUUGAAGGGUGCAUAUCAGUGUCUUAUAUUGGAAUAUUAUAUCUAAAUGGUACCUUUUAAAAGGGUACUCAACCAAUGAUAGUUUUUGUACCUUCUUUCCUGAGAGUGUGGAUUAAUAUAUAAAACCUUAUAUAAAACACAACUUCUGCUAACAGGCUAAACUUCUGCUUCUGACUAAACACCCCUUCACAAAAAUGAAAUAUAAUUUACAACUAUAGGCUAUAUAUGCUGCUGGAAUUAAAAAAACAAACAAACCUAUGUUAGAGGAAUAUGUGUUUUCUCAAAAAGCACAAAUCAUGUGUGAUUUUUUUUAUCCACCGUGAAUAAAAUUGGGUGACAUUUGCUGUUGGAGAACUGAUUAGUAGCACUAAUCAAUGAUGUUUUGAGCUUGUCUCCCUCAACUAGACAUGCUGACCAAUCAUGAAUAAAUUCAUCUUUGUUGAUGGUGUUGUACUGUACUGUCGGCCUGCUUGGCUCACAGAUCUAAGUCUAAAACAAAGAGUCAGGAUAAUUGCCAAACAUGUAGCUGACGAACUUGAUACACAAUGGUGCAUUGACUUCCUCGCUGUCGCUCGCCUCUGUGGAGCACCACAGCGAGGCCAUCAUUCCACGCAAGUCACCCCAGGCAAGGACGUCUUGUUUUAUAACAAGAAAUGAUGCUGACUUGUUUCAGCUCCAGCGAACUGGGCAUAAAACUUCCAGCACAUGCCAAUCACUGAGGGAGAAGGUGGCAUUUAGAGUGAGCUUUCUCUGAAAAG